rnacentral:rRNA from 1 species
UACGGAGGGGGCUAGCGUUGUUCGGAAUUACUGGGCGUAAAGCGCGCGUAGGCGGACCUGCAAGUCGGGGGUGAAAGCCCGAGGCUCAACCUCGGAACUGCCUUCGAUACUGCGGGUCUCGAGUCCGGGAGAGGUGAGUGGAAUUCCUAGUGUAGAGGUGAAAUUCGUAGAUAUUCGCAAGAACACCAGUGGCGAAGGCGGCUCACUGGCCCGGUACUGACGCUGAGGAGCGAAAGCGUGGGGAGCGAACGGG